rnacentral:rRNA from 1 species
AGAGUUUGUUCCUGGCUCAGGAUGAACGCUAGCGACAAGCUUAACACAUGCAAGUCGAGGGGCAGCGGUGGUGAAGGCUUGCCUUUACCAGCCGGCGACCGGCGCACGGGUGAGUAACACGUAUGCAACCUGCCUGCCACAGCCGGAUAAUCGGGAGAAAUUCCGUCUAAUACGGCAUAAUGCACCUAUGGGACAUCCUGUUGGUGCCAAAGGUUGAUUCCGGUGGCGGAUGGGCAUGCGUCGCAUUAGUUAGUUGGCGGUGUAACGGACCACCAAGACGACGAUGCGUAGGGGUUCUGAGUGGAAGGUCCCCCACACUGGUACUGAGACACGGACCAGACUCCUACGGGAGGCAGCAGUGAGGAAUAUUGGUCAAUGGGCGGGAGCCUGAACCAGCCAAGUCGCGUGAGGGAUGACGGCCCUAUGGGUUGUAAACCUCUUUUGCCGGGGAGCAAAGUGCCGCACGUGUGCGGUUUGGAGAGUACCCGGAGAAAAAGCAUCGGCUAACUCCGUGCCAGCAGCCGCGGUAAUACGGAGGAUGCGAGCGUUAUCCGGAUUUAUUGGGUUUAAAGGGUGCGUAGGCGGACGCUUAAGUCAGCGGUAAAAUUGCGGGGCUCAACCUCGUCGAGCCGUUGAAACUGGGUGCCUUGAGUGGGCGAGAAGUACGCGGAAUGCGUGGUGUAGCGGUGAAAUGCAUAGAUAUCACGCAGAACUCCGAUUGCGAAGGCAGCGUACCGGCGCCCAACUGACGCUGAAGCACGAAGGCGUGGGUAUCGAACAGGAUUAGAUACCCUGGUAGUCCACGCAGUAAACGAUGAAUGCUAGUUGUCCGGGGCGAUUGAGUUCUGGGUGACACAGCGAAAGCGUUAAGCAUUCCACCUGGGGAGUACGCCGGCAACGGUGAAACUCAAAGGAAUUGACGGGGGCCCGCACAAGCGGAGGAACAUGUGGUUUAAUUCGAUGAUACGCGAGGAACCUUACCCGGGCUCAAACGCAGGAGGGAUGUUUUUGAAAGGAGGCAGCCAGCAAUGGUCUCCUGCGAGGUGCUGCAUGGUUGUCGUCAGCUCGUGCCGUGAGGUGUCGGCUUAAGUGCCAUAACGAGCGCAACCCCUACCUACAGUUGCCAUCGCGUGAUGGCGGGCACUCUGUGGGGACUGCCUGCGCAAGCAGUGAGGAAGGCGGGGAUGACGUCAAAUCAGCACGGCCCUUACGUCCGGGGCGACACACGUGUUACAAUGGCAGGUACAGCGGGAAGCCACCCGGCGACGGGGCGCGGAACCCGAAAACCUGUCUCAGUUCGGAUUGGAGUCUGCAACCCGACUCCAUGAAGCUGGAUUCGCUAGUAAUCGCGCAUCAGCCACGGCGCGGUGAAUACGUUCCCGGGCCUUGCACACACCGCCCGUCA